rnacentral:rRNA from 1 species
UACGAAGGAGGCUAGCGUUGCUCGGAAUUACUGGGCGUAAAGCGCACGUAGGCGGCUUCUUAAGUCGGUGGUGAAAUCCUGGAGCUCAACUCCAGAACUGCCUUCGAUACUGGGAGCUCGAGUCCGGGAGAGGUGAGUGGAACUGCGAGUGUAGAGGUGAAAUUCGUAGAUAUUCGCAAGAACACCAGUGGCGAAGGCGGCUCACUGGCCCGGUACUGACGCUGAGGUGCGAAAGCGUGGGGAGCGAAGAGG